rnacentral:rRNA from 1 species
UACGAGUGCCCCAAGCGUUAUCCGGAAUUAUUGGGCGUAAAGGGUGUGUAGGUGGUUUUGUUAGUCUUCUGUUAAAGCUCCCGGCUUAACCGGGAAAGUGCAGAGGAAACGGCAAGACUAGAGGAUGUGAGAGGUUUAUGGAACUCAUGGUGUAGGGGUGAAAUCCGUUGAUAUCAUGGGGAACACCAAAAGCGAAGGCAAUAAACUGGCGCAUUCCUGACACUGAAACACGAAAGCGUGGGUAGCAAACAGG